CGCUGUUGCAGAUUAUAUCCAAACAAGUUUAAAUAAUUAAUUGUAAGGCAAUUUUAUUUCUGCAGGGACUAUCACAUUGAGGAUACCUGUGCCUGCUCCUACGAAGGAGCCCAUAACACCCACUCAGGGGAUAGCUGUACCUGCUCCUACAAAAGGAGACAACUAUGAUUAUUGGACCAUCAAAAUGAAGACCCAAGAGCUUUGGGAAUUAGUGGAAGUGGGAUAUAUAGAACCUGGAAUGCAUGGACAUCAACAAAAAAAAUCAGCUAAAAGAAAACAAAGCUCUUUACACCAUUCAAUCUGCAUUGGAUGCUUCAAUUUUUUUUCGAAUUGUCAAUAUGAGAAAAUCAAAGGAUGCAUGAGAAACUCUAAAAAUUGCGUAUCAAGGUACAAACACAAUCAAAUUGGUAAGAGAUUUCAAAUUUUUUGAAGAGAAUAUGAAAAUUUGAGGAUGAAGGAAUCGAAGUCCAUUCAUGAAUUUAUUGCUAAGAUUUAAGGAAUUGUUAAUCAACUUAGGACUCAAGGAGAAAUUGUAAUAGAACAAAAAAUUGUAGAUUUUUUUUGAAAUCUCUUUUAAGUUCACUGAAGAAAGUAAAGAUCUAACUACUUUCAAAGUUGUAGAGUUGAUUGGUUCUUUGCAAUCUAAUGAUGAACAUUUGCAGCUUUCUAU